rnacentral:rRNA from 1 species
UUGUCGUUGCGGUUAAAACGCUCGUAGUUGGGUAUCUGCUGAGAACUGCUGGUCUAUCCCAGUGAUACGUACACGGUUUGAUCUCGGCAAGCACCUGAGUAAAGUGUCGGCACUUAAUUGUGUUGCUCUUGAAUCAGAACUUUUACUUUGAGGAAAUGAGAGUGUUUCAAGCAGGCCACUGUCAUGAAUACGUUAGCAUGGAAUAAUAGCACAGGACUUCGGUCUGGGGCUGUUGGUUUUCGGACCGAGGUAACGGAAAUGGGGAUAGUUGGGGGCAUUCGUAUUUAACUGUCAGAGGUGAAAUUCUUGGAUUUUUUAAAGACGGACUACAGCGAAAGCAUCUGCCCAGGAUGUUUUUAUUAAUCAAGAACGAAAGUUAGGGGAUCGAAGACGAUCAGAUACCGUCCUAGUCUUAACCAUAAACUAUGCCGACUAGAGAUUGGUGGCGUCUGACAUAUGACGCCCUCAGCACCUUGAGAGAAAUCAAAGUCUUUGGGUUCCGGGGGGAGUAUGGUCGCGAGGCUGAAACUUAAAGGAAUUGACGGAAGGGCACCACCAGGAGUGGAGCCUGCGGCUUAAUUUGACUCAACACGGGGAAACUUACCAGGGCCAGACAUAGAGAGGAUUGACAGACUGAUAGCUCUUUCUUGAUUCUAUGGGGUGGUGGUGCAU